rnacentral:rRNA from 1 species
UACGAAGGGGGCUAGCGUUGCUCGGAAUCACUGGGCGUAAAGCGCACGUAGGCGGAUCUUUAAGUCAGGGGUGAAAUCCUGGAGCUCAACUCCAGAACUGCCUUUGAUACUGGGGAUCUCGAGUCCGGAAGAGGUGAGUGGAACUCCGAGUGUAGAGGUGAAAUUCGUAGAUAGUUCGGAAAGAACACCAGGUGGCGAAGGCGGCUCACUGGUCCGGUACUGGACGCUGAGGUGCGAAAGCGUGGGGAGCAAACAGG